GACGAACGCUGGCGGCGUGCCUAACACAUGCAAGUCGAGCGGAGACAGUGAGUAGCUUGCUAUGAGCUGUUUUAGCGGCGGACGGGUGAGUAACGCGUGAGCAACCUUUCCCAGACAGGGGAAUAACACACCGAAAGGUGUACUAAUACCGCAUAAGACCACGGGAUCACAUGGUUCUGAGGUAAAAGAUUUAUCGGUUUGGGGUGGGCUCGCGUCCGAUUAGGUAGUUGGUGAGGUAACGGCCCACCAAGCCGACGAUCGGUAGCCGACCUGAGAGGGUGAUCGGCCACAUUGGGACUGAGACACGGCCCAAACUCCUACGGGAGGCAGCAGUGGGGAAUAUUGGGCAAUGGAGGAAACUCUGACCCAGCAACGCCGCGUGGAGGAAGAAGGUUUUCGGACCGUAAACUCCUGUCCUUGGAGACGAGUAGAAGACGGUAUCCAAGGAGGAAGCCCCGGCUAACUACGUG
rnacentral:rRNA from 1 species